rnacentral:rRNA from 1 species
GUGAGGGCCCUCUGGGUCCACCUCCCACCCGUGUUUAUUGUACCUUGUUGCUUCGGUGCGCCCGCCUCACGGCCGCCGGGGGGCUUCUGCCCCCGGGUCCGCGCGCACCGGAGACACCAUUGAACUCUGUCUGAAGAUUGCAGUCUGAGCAUAAACUAAAUAAGUUAAAACUUUCAACAACGGAUCUCUUGGUUCCGGCAUCGAUGAAGAACGCAGCGAAAUGCGAUAACUAAUGUGAAUUGCAGAAUUCAGUGAAUCAUCGAGUCUUUGAACGCACAUUGCGCCCCCUGGUAUUCCGGGGGGCAUGCCUGUCCGAGCGUCAUUGCUGCCCUCAAGCACGGCUUGUGUGUUGGGCUCCGUCCCCCCGGGGACGGGUCCGAAAGGCAGCGGCGGCACCGAGUCCGGUCCUCGAGCGUAUGGGGCUUUGUCACCCGCUCUGUAGGCCCGGCCGGCGCCAGCCGACAACCAAUCAUCCUUUUUUCAGGUUGACCUCGGAUCAGGUAGGGAUACCCGCUGAACUUAAGCAUAUCAA